rnacentral:rRNA from 1 species
AUUGAACGCUGGCGGCAUGCCUUACACAUGCAAGUCGAACGGUAGCGGGCCUUCGGGUGCCGACGAGUGGCGAACGGGUGAGUAAUGUAUCGGAACGUACCUUUCAGUGGGGGAUAACGUAGCGAAAGUUGCGCUAAUACCGCAUAUUCUAUGAGCAGGAAAGCAGGGGAUCGCAAGACCUUGCGCUGAUUGAGCGGCCGAUAUCAGAUUAGCUAGUUGGUGAGGUAAAGGCUCACCAAGGCGACGAUCUGUAGCGGGUCUGAGAGGAUGAUCCGCCACACUGGAACUGGGACACGGCCCAGACUCCUACGGGAGGCAGCAGUGGGGAAUUUUGGACAAUGGGCGCAAGCCUGAUCCAGCCAUUCCGCGUGCAGGAUGAAGGCCUUCGGGUUGUAAACUGCUUUUGUACGGAACGAAACGGCGAGCUCUAAUACAGUUUGCUAAUGACGGUACCGUAAGAAUAAGCACCGGCUAACUACGUGCCAGCCGCCGCGGUAAGAC